GACUAGAGUCUUGUAGAGGGGGGUAGAAUUCCAGGUGUAGCGGUGAAAUGCGUAGAGAUCUGGAGGAAUACCGGUGGCGAAGGCGGCCCCCUGGACAAAGACCGACGCUCAUGCACGAAAGCGUGGGGAGCAAACAGGAUUAGAUACCCUGGUAGUCCACGCCGUAAACGAUGUCUACUCGGAAUUUGGUACCUU
rnacentral:rRNA from 1 species